ensembl:lncRNA MIR4500HG MIR4500 host gene
GAAAGGUGGGAGGAAGAACUGUAAGCGACUUAGGUCAGUUGUUUAAUAUCCGAAUUUCAUCUCCCACAGGAAUCAAUAUGACCCCCUCCCCCUUUUUUUUCUUGCUCUCUUUUUGUCCCCUUGAAGGCUUCCUUCCACUUCCUACUUCUGAUCAACAGCAGCACUCUUAAAGGAAGGACAUAAAUGGAAUGAGCGUGUGUGUGUGUGUGUGUGUGUGUGUGUGUGUGUUUGUGUGUGCGCGCGCGCGCAUGCUGCGUUGGUUAAUGGGGUGGAGGACAUUUGAUAGAAAUGCUGGACUCUAGGAACCUAUGCCUUUUCUCUGGUCAACCUUGCCUUUGCCUCACUACCGAAGUCUAAUAUCGAAUUGCAACUCCAAACUAAAGCCAAGAUGUUUCCGAGACAGCGGGUUCAAGCCUGGAGACCUUGCUCCUGAUCCCCAAGUCGACUCCAGCCCGCGUUAUUAAACGCCCCUGCAUUCAAACGCACAUGUAUCAGUGUGCCUGCGAAUCAUUCACGUGUGGCCACCCAGACGUGUCGAGAUGAAUUGGAACCACAGUGCAUAAACCUCGCAAGUAUCCCCGACCUCCCAACGCAACGGUAAACGUCUCCCGGCUUAAAAGCGGCAAAAACAUCCCCACCCCAGUGAAAGCAAAACGUUUACCUUGAAAUUUCAGUUCUCCGCUGGAUCAAAUCCGCACAUCCAUUCAGCGAGGGUGUGGUUAAGAGAAAAAAAAAUUGCCAUUAAGGAAUCAGCAAAUAGGAUGUCUGAAGUGAGGAUAUAGCACCUAUCUCUGAGAUUAAAGUCAUCUGAUCAAAAAUGAUGCCUCUGAGACUAUAACAAAGGAAUGAAUAAUGAAAUAUAAGAAUGGGGAUUCUGCACUAACUCUAUGGGGAAGAAAACAAUGGUAAGAGCAAAAGGAUCAACAGCAGCAACUCCUGUUUCCAUCGAUUUGUUUAUAAGAUGCCGUCUACAUUAUUCCAAAAUAUCCCAGCCUUUUUCUCCCCUGUCAAGCUUCCCUGUCUCUAAAAGAGAUCUUGCUCUUCCUGCACAGAAAGAAAUAAUAAUAUAUCACUGAAAUAUUAUUAUUACAUUUAAAGUUACUUACACUCUUUCCCAUUCCUAUAAUUUCCUAGUUGGAAGCCCUCGCACUUGGGAAAUUAUUUAAUGUGAUUUUUUCUCCCUGACAUAUAAAUUGUCACAUCACCUUAAAUGUUGGGACUUCAGGUUGGGAAGUGGGUGGAUAAUAUUCUUGAGGAAGCUGCCUUCCUUUUAUAGAUAAUGUUACCUCCUUGUAAAGGUUGCUUUCUAUGUAUUAUUCUACUUUUUUUCUAAGAAUAUACCAUAUAAUGAAAACUUUACAGGCUUGACAUCCUAUUACUAAGAUUAUAAUUGUUGAGGUCUUCAAUAGAAUUUCAAGUCAAAUAUGUUGUGCUAUAUGCCUACUUACAUUUCACUCUUUGAUUCA